ensembl:lncRNA
UUUUUUUUUUUUUUUUUGAGAUGGAGUUUCAAAAAAAAAGCUUUUAGCCACCGCGCCAAUCAUGUUUAUGUCAUGCGCAUCUGUGUGAAGAAACUACCAACAGGCUUUGUGUGAGCAACAAGGCUGUUUAUUUCACUUGGGUGCAGGCGGGCUGAGUCCAAAUAGAGAGUCAGCAAAGGGAGAUAAGGGUGGGGCCGUUUUAUAGGAUUUGGGUAGGUAACGGAAAAUUACAGUGAAAGGGGGGUUGUUCUCUGGCGGGCAGGAGUGGAGGUCACAAGGUGCUUAGUGGGGGAGCUUUCUGAGCCAGGAUGAGCCAGGAAAGGGAAUUUCACAAGGUAAUGUCAUCACUUAAGGCAAGGACCGGCCAUUUUCACUUCUUUUGUGGUGGAAUGUCAUCAGUUAAGGCAGGGCAGGCCAUUUGCACUUCUUUUGUGAUUCUUCAGUUACUUCAGGCCAUCUGGGCGUAUACGUGCAAGUCACAGGGGAUGCGAUGGCUUGGCUUGGCCUCAGAGGCCUGACAGUUUACAUUUUAUUUUAUGUAUUUAUUUUUUUGAGAUGGAGUCUCACUCUGUCGCCAGGCUGGAGUACAGUGGUGCGAUCUCGGCUCACUGCAACCUCCGCCUCCCGGGUUCAAGCAAUUCUCCUGCCUCAGCCUCCUGAGUAGCUGGGACUACAGGCGCGUGCCACCACGCCUGGCUAAUUUUUGUAUUUUUAGUAGAGACAUGGUUUCACCAUGUUGGCCAGGAUGGUCUUGUACUCGACCUCGUGAUCCACCCGCCUCAGCCUCCCAAAGUGUUGGGAUUACAGGCAUGAGCCACUGCGCCCGGCCAUGUUUACCUUUCAAAAGGAUCAUUCUGGCUGCUGGUUAGAAUAAAGACUGGAGCAGGGAUGUGUUAGGGUUGAGGUAUAGCAGAAGCAACGGCAGGACUAGUUAGGAGACUACUGCCAUAUAUAUAGCUGAAACCGCCUUUGCAAAAUUAUGACUGAGACAGUGAAAAAGAUCUAACUCCAUCUUCAUUCUAACCUUUAAGCUGUCCUUGUUCCUUCCUGGGUGUAAGCUGAACUAACUUUGGGAGGAACUUAGUUUACAGUUUAAAACAAAGAUGGUAACAGCCCCUUCCCAAAACAAACCUUCCUCUUGCCUGGGUACUAGACUGACUUUGUUGGACUAACAAAUUAGCCACAAGAUUAGAAAUUAUGGUUUAGCAGUCACGCAGCUGGAGGCUACAAGAUUCUGACCUUCCCUAAACGUUUCCUAAAAUCAGCACUUGAGAUAUUUUGCAGACCUGAACUUGAUGAAUCAGCUGGCACCACACAGACUGAUAAACCGGCUCAUCUGAUCUUGUGGCCCGCACCCAGGAACUGACUCAAUGCAAGAGGACAGCUUCAGCUUCCCAUGAUUUCAUCUCCUACCUGACCAAUCAGCACUCCUUGCUCACUGGCUUCCCCCUACCCACCAAAUUAUCCUUAAAAACUCUGAUUCCACAGCCUGGAGCAGUGGCUCAUGCCUGUAAUCCUAGCACUUUGGGAGGCUGAGGCAGGUGGAUCAUUGAGGUCAGGAAUUUGAGUCCAGCCUGGCCAACAUGGUGAAACCCCCGUCCCUACUAAAAAAAUACAAAAAUUAACCGGGUGUGGUGAUGCAUGUCUGUGGUCCCAGCUACUCCAGAGCGGAGACUGAGGCAGGAGAAUCACCUGAACUAGGGAGGCACAGGCUGCAGGGAGUGGAGAUUGUGCCAUUGCACUCCAGCCUGGGCGACACCGUCUCAAAACAAACAAACAAACAAAAUCUCUGAUCCCCGAAUGCUCAGGGAGACUGAUUUGAGUAAUAAUAAAACUCCGGUUUCCUGCACAGCUGGCUCUGUGUGAGUUACUCUUUAUUGCAACUCCUGUCUUGAUAAGUCCCCUCUGUCUAGGUAGCAGGCAAGGUAAACCCGCUGGCUGGUUACAUA